rnacentral:rRNA from 1 species
AUUGAACGCUGGCGGCAGGCCUAACACAUGCAAGUCGAACGGUAACAGGAAGCAGCUUGCUGCUUUGCUGACGAGUGGCGGACGGGUGAGUAAUGUCUGGGAAACUGCCCGCUGGAGGGGGAUAACUACUGGAAACGGUAGCUAAUACCGCAUAACGUCGCAAGACCAAAGAGGGGGACCUUAGGGCCUCUUGCCAUCGGAUGUGCCCAGAUGGGAUUAGCUAGUAGGUGGGGUAACGGCUCACCUAGGCGACGAUCCCUAGCUGGUCUGAGAGGAUGACCAGCCACACGGGAACUUAGACACGGUCCAGACUCCUACGGGAGGCAGCAGUGGGGAAUAUUGCACAAUGGGCGCAAGCCUGAUGCAGCCAUGCCGCGUGUAUGAAGAAGGCCUUCGGGUUGUAAAGUACUUUCAGCGGGGAGGAAGGGAGUAAAGUUAAUACCUUUGCUCAUUGACGUUACCCGCAGAAGAAGCACCGGCUAACUCCGUG